AUCUGGGCGGCGGAAUUCAGGAUGGCUGGACGGGCUUCGCGCUCGCCCGGCCGUUUGAUAUUUCCGUCGCCGGUGCAGACGUCGCGACCUGUUCGUCGUCGGUCCUUGCUCGGAGGAAUCGCGAUCGAGUUCGUUGCGGGGCGUGUUUCGGCGCGUCUCGCGACGAAGGCGCGACUCUCUGGCUGACGACGGACAGUAAGCAACGGUGGCCGGCGCGGUGUCUCGCACUCCGCGUCCGGUGCCGGUCAGCGACGAUUUCUUCGGGCCUCUUUCCGACCCGUCUUGAAACACGGACCAAGGAGUCUAACAUGCGCGCGAGUCGCGGGGUUUCGAGCGUGCCACGGUGCGCUCGUUACUUCCGAAACCCGUACGUUGAAGGCGUAAUGAAAGUGAACAGGGAAGAUGGCGUUCCGAGUCCACGAACCGUGAUCGAGUAUCGCGGCCGGACGCCCGCACUCCCGGGGCGUCUUAAUGGCUCGUCGCGGACGCGGACGGUCGUUCUUCGGGGCGGCCGUCGGUCUGCGACGGACCGA
rnacentral:rRNA from 1 species